UACGUAGGGGGCAAGCGUUGUCCGGAAUCAUUGGGCGUAAAGCGCGUGUAGGCGGUUCAGUAAGUCUGCUGUGAAAGUCCAGGGCUCAACCCUGGGAUGCCGGUGGAUACUGCUGGGCUAGAGUACGGAAGAGGCGAGUGGAAUUCCCGGUGUAGCGGUGAAAUGCGCAGAUAUCGGGAGGAACACCAAUUGCGAAGGCAGAUCGCUGGGACGUUACUGACGCUCGGACGA
rnacentral:rRNA from 1 species